rnacentral:rRNA from 1 species
UAUUGGGCAAUGGACGCAAGUCUGACCCAGCAACGCCGCGUGAAGGAAGAAGGCUUUCGGGUUGUAAACUUCUUUUAAGGGGGAAGAGCAGAAGACGGUACCCCUUGAAUAAGCCACGGCUAACUACGUGCCAGCAGCCGCGGUAAUACGUAGGUGGCAAGCGUUGUCCGGAUUUACUGGGUGUAAAGGGCGUGCAGCCGGAGAGACAAGUCAGAUGUGAAAUCCACAGGCUCAACCCGUGAACUGCAUUUGAAACUGUUUCCCUUGAGUGUCGGAGAGGUAAUCGGAAUUCCUUGUGUAGCGGUGAAAUGCGUAGAUAUAAGGAAGAACACCGGUGGCGAAGGCGGAUUACUGGACGACAACUGACGGUGAGGCGCGAAAGCGUGGGGAGCAAACAGGA